AGUGAACGCUGGCGGUAGGCCUAACACAUGCAAGUCGAACGGCAGCACAGUAAGAGCUUGCUCUUACGGGUGGCGAGUGGAGGACGGGUGAGGAAUACAUCGGAAUCUACUUUUUCGUGGGGGAUAACGUAGGGAAACUUACGCUAAUACCGCAUACGACCUACGGGUGAAAGCAGGGGAUCUUCGGACCUUGCGCGAUUGGAUGAGCCGAUGUCGGAUUAGCUAGUUGGCGGGGUAAAGGCCCACCAAGGCGACGAUCCGUAGCUGGUCUGAGAGGAUGAUCAGCCACACUGGAACUGAGACACGGUCCAGACUCCUACGGGAGGCAGCAGUGUGGAAUAUUGGACAAUGGGCGCAAGCCUGAUCCAGCCAUACCGCGUGGGUGAAGAAGGCCUUCGGGUUGUAAAGCCCUUUUGUUGGGAAAGAAAAGCAGCAGGUUAAUACCCCGCUGUUCUGACGGUACCCAAAGAAUAAGCACCGGCUAACUUCGUG
rnacentral:rRNA from 1 species